rnacentral:rRNA from 1 species
AUUGAACGCUGGCGGCAGGCCUAACACAUGCAAGUCGGGCGAGUGGCGGACGGGUGAGUAAUGUAUGGGGAACUGCCUGAUGGAGGGGGAUAACUACUGGAAACGGUAGCUAAUACCGCAUACCAUCAGAUGAACCCAGAUGGGAGUAGCUAGUAGGGGGGGUAACGGCUCACCUAGGCGACGAUCCCUAGCUGGUCUGAGAGGAUGACCAGCCACACUGGGACUGAGACACGGCCCAGACUCCUACGGGAGGCAGCAGUGGGGAAUAUUGCACAAUGGGCGCAAGCCUGAUGCAGCCAUGCCGCGUGUAUGAAGAAGGCCUUCGGGUUGUAAAGUACUUUCAGUGGGGAGGCGUUACCCGCAGAAGAAGCACCGGCUAACUCCGUGCCAGCAGCCGCGGUAAUAC